rnacentral:rRNA from 1 species
UACGAAGGGGGCUAGCGUUGCUCGGAAUCACUGGGCGUAAAGGGUGCGUAGGCGGGCCUUUAAGUCAGGGGUGAAAUCCUGGAGCUCAACUCCAGAACUGCCUUUGAUACUGAGGAUCUUGAGUCCGGGAGAGGUGAGUGGAACUGCGAGUGUAGAGGUGAAAUUCGUAGAUAUUCGCAAGAACACCAGUGGCGAAGGCGGCUCACUGGCCCGGUACUGACGCUGAGGUGCGAAAGCGUGGGGAGCAAACAGG